rnacentral:rRNA from 1 species
AGCAGUCGCCGCGGUAAUACGAGGGGGGCAAGCGUUGUUCGGAAUUAUUGGGCGUAAAGGGUGCGUAGGCGGUUUGACAAGUCUUAUGUGAAAUCUCUGGGCUCAACCCAGAGUCUGCAUGGGAAACUGUCGAGCUUGAGUAUGGGAGAGGUGAGUGGAAUUUCCGGUGUAGCGGUGAAAUUCGUAGAUAUUCGGAAGAACACCAGUGGCGAAGGCGGCUCACUGGACCGUUGUUGACGCUGAGGUGCGAAAGCGUGGGGAGCAAACAGGAUUAGAUACCCGGGUAGUCCCUGUCUCUUAUAC